AGCGCGAGGCCCGGAGGGGACGAGGGGGGAAUGUAAGUUUGUGCUUCGCUGCUGCUGGGAUUUGUCGUAGAAUCGCUCAGGUUGGAAAAGACCGUCAAGAUCAUCAAGUCCAACCGCAGCCUAACCGUACAUAACUCUAACAGCCCUCUGCUAAAUCACGGCCCUGAGCACCACAUCCAGACGGAUUUUAAACACAUCCAGGGAUGGUGACUCCACCUCCUCCCUGGGGACCCCAUUCCAGUGCUUAACAACCCUUUCCGGAAAGAAGCUUUUCCUGAUAUCCAACCUAAACCUCCCCUGGUGCAACUUGAGGCCAUGUCCCGUCAGCUGUCAGCAGUGAGGAGAGACCAACCCCGCUCCCACCGCCAUCACCCUCCAGGUUUAAGGAGUGUUUUGGUUAGAAAGCGUGACCAAGAACCAUGAAGAAAGCAGUGUGAGCUGCUCAAGGAAGAGGCUGGCAACCCUGAACAAAAACCAGGAGCAUGGAGUUGUGAGAAAUCCUCAGGAAGGGCAAAAAAGCACAAUAAAAAACAAGUGGAAAUUAGGAGGAGGGGUGAAGAUGUUGCUGAAGCAGAAGACUCUCUGCUGCAACCCUCUGCCACACGAAAACCGAGUCCUUCAAGCUGCAGACUCUUCCCUACUAAUGGUUUCCAGGCAGCCCACAGGUUUACCUGAGCGUGCAUAAGACUCAUGACAUGUGUUUGUUAUUUCUGCAGCAAGAUCCAUGUAGUGUUGCUUCCUCUCUUCUCCACCAUGUUCGGCUCCCAGGGCUAUCAUGCCCCCAGAGAAGCAAGCCAGGUGGCCCAUUUUGUGGUCCAAGAUGCCGCCCCUCCACUCAGCAAUGUAGGUCAAUCCUCCUGCUGACUUUUUGACCAAAUGCUUUUCUAUUGCCUAGGGAGAUGAAAAGCAGGAUCUUAGGAGACUUAGUGGAUAGGUGAGGAGUGAAUAUCAGAUGAACUCAAAGACAUUCAACGCUUCUAGCAGAAACAAUCUGAUGAACGACGCCCCCCACCAAAGACACAGCGCACCAACCCGCUCCUUACCUCUAGUGCAUCAUCGUACAUCUUCUUUGCUUCAGAGUCCUUCUUGUCUGACAUCAGCCACGAUUUGAUGAGAUACUCAUAAAAGCUGUCUCCGAGCCCUCCAAUAGAGACAUGGUCUGCAGUGGGAAAGCCAAAAAAGAGCUCAUGUUCAGGACGUGCAGCGUGUAGCUGUGUUAGCAAGAGCAAAUAACCACGUCCUAUUUGAUGUCUCUUUCUUUCCUCCUUUCCAGUUUUCUCAGAAGAGUUUGCAGCAUCACUUCUUUAGAAAGGAACAAAGGUGGAAAUUGCAAUCCAAAGAAGAACAUUCUUUCCCUUUAUAAAGCAUUUUACAAGUUCACUGAAGCCAUUUGGAUGUCAUAUUUUCCAAGUUAUUGGUACUACAACUCGGAGAUACUUCUCGUUUAUGAAGCAAUCAUCAUAAAUCCCCGUCCCAUAAACAAAGUGCAGUGGCAGGCAUUGACAGACCUCCACCUACACGAAGCUGCCAGGUGCUGUCUCCCUGCCUCAGGAAAAGGAGAAUGCAUAUUAGAUCACGUAUAGCGGCCAGAAAGGGACUGCUGCAGGGACCUCCAGGUUCUGCCAUUGGUAUUCCUGUCUCAUAGAGGGAUGGGAAAGGCUGUUGGAGCAUUAAAACAGUAGUGUCAGGU